GCCUCAAAGAGGACUUCCUGAAAACAUCGUUUCAAUACUUCGUUUUAUGCAGUACGCUUGAAGUAAAGUGAGAUUUGGUUCAGUUUCCAAAGUGGUCACCCAUUAAUCGCGAGACUUGUCUUGACAUGCUUGCUAUAAGAUACGAUCGUGACGGAUAACCAUCACAGUUGGCUCCUGUUGACGUGUUUGUCAGUACAGUGGACCCUCUCAAAGAGCCGCCUCUUGUCACUGGAAAUACUGUUUUUUCUAUAUUAUAUGUUGAUUACCCUGUCGACAAAGUUUCCUGUUAUGUAUUAGAUGAUGGUUCAUCUAUGUUAACUUUUGAAGCCUUAUCAGGGAAAUCAGAUAAAUCAAUGUCAUAUAGAGAAAACAGAAAAAUCUGUGCAGGUUCGCCUAAGCCAUAGGAGGCUACGAGUUGUUCGCAUAUAAACUACUACUGUAGAUAGCAAAUGAAUUGUUGGGCUUUUUGUUCCUAAUGCAGCUGUUGAAACUGUUCUUCAAGGUUUAGCAUGGGUUCAAGAAAUUGAUGAUUGACGUGUGAUAGUAGACUUUGCUCACAUUUUUGUUUUAACUAAGUUUGAAGCCUCACAUUUUCUUUAUAACAAAGUUUGAAGCCUUUUGAUAGUUGCUUGACGUCUCCAUUAUUCAGUGUCCUCUGCAAGUCAACAAGCAAUUUAUGUUUUAGGAAAAGGCUCAACCUUGAUGCUGAAUUUUUUGGAAGGAAAGAUUCAUCCUCUGUGCCAUUCAACAUAAUUGUGCAGGUUAUCAUUGGGCAAGCUGUUGUACAUAGGUGCAAUGCAACUGUGGAUUUCCUUAGUGGAGUGAAACCUUUCUAUCCUCUAAAUGUAAAUGAAAGUGAUUUAUUUAUGCAUUCCAUACUGGAUCCAUUUUGAGAAAAUUAGCCUAGCACUAAAGUUAAUGCUCAAGCAAAUCGGGAAUCUUAUCUCCAAGGUUCGUGACAGAAAUACUCUCUGAAUCUAUUUGCUUCCGCAGUUUCAGUUUGUCCAAGUUUUCGUUGCUGGAACAACACUUUGCAUUUGCAGGUCUUAGACAUUACAUUUUGGUGUAUUAAGUAGGUGUUAUUUC